GCGCGAGUGGCGGAAUUGGUAGACGCGCCGGAUUUAGGAUCCGGUCUCGCAAGAGGUGGAGGUUCGAGUCCUCUCUCGCGUACCA
rnacentral:tRNA from 1 species